CCUACGGGAGGCUGCAGUGGGGAAUAUUGGGCAAUGGGCGCAAGCCUGACCCAGCAAAGCCGCGUGAAGGAAGAAGGCUUUCGGGUUGGAAAAUUCUUUUCGCAGGGGCGAAGAGAGUGACGGUACCUGGGUAAUAAGCCACGGCUAACUACGUGCCAGCAGCCGCGGUAAUACGGAGGGGGCGAGAGUUAUCCGGAUUUACUGGGUGUAAAGGGCGUGUAGGCGGGACGGUAAGUCAGAUGUGAAAACCACGGGCUCAACCUGUGGCCUGCAUUUGAAACUGGAGGGCGUGAGUACUGGAGAGGCAGACGGAAUUCCAGGUGUAGCGGUGAAAUGCGUAGAUAUUAGGAGGAACACCAGUGGCGAAGGCGGUCUGCUGGACAGCAACUGACGCUGAGGCGCGAAAGCGUGGGGAGCAAACAGGAUUAGAUACCCGAGUAGUC
rnacentral:rRNA from 1 species